rnacentral:misc_RNA from 1 species
CAGAAGGUUACAAUGCCUACAAACCACUGCGAACCGUUCCUUUUAGCUGCCUCGGCGGGCAAUCCCAGGGCGGGAUUCCGGCCCUCCUUCGGGGGGCGCCCGCCGGCGGUACGCACAUAUCUAGUUCUGUCUCUCAGCGGAUUUCUGAGUGAUUUUAAAAAACCUUUAA